AGAUUAAACUAAAGAGUUUGAUCCUGGCUCAGAUUGAACGCUGGCGGCAUGCCUUACACAUGCAAGUCGAACGGCAGCACGGACUUCGGUCUGGUGGCGAGUGGCGAACGGGUGAGUAAU
rnacentral:rRNA from 1 species